UACGAAGGGUGCAAGCGUUAAUCGGAAUUACUGGGCGUAAAGGGUGCGUAGGCGGUUGUUUAAGUCUGUCGUGAAAUCCCCGGGCUCAACCUGGGAAUGGCGAUGGAUACUGGGCAGCUAGAGUGUGGCAGAGGAUGGUGGAAUUCCCGGUGUAGCGGUGAAAUGCGUAGAGAUCGGGAGGAACAUCAGUGGCGAAGGCGGCCAUCUGGGACAACACUGACGCUGAAGCACGAAAGCGUGGGGAGCAAACAGG
rnacentral:rRNA from 1 species